CUCUGGCCGUGUGACAGGUGAUCAAUUUGGUCACCGACUAACCCUACAGUUAUUUGCUUAAUUCCUUCGUGUGCACCAAAGUCCUCUGUUUUCACAGCUUGCUUUCAGCGGACGACGAAGGAAAAUGCCUGUGACGAAAAAAGCAAGCCCACGGUCAGAGGCCAUCAAUCACGACUUCGUGUUGGGUGUUGCAUUUUGCAAAGACCGCUAAUGCGCGACACACCAUACAGCUCCGUCGACCAGUGACCGACUUUGAGACGACAUCGCAGUUUGUCUUCGGGUCGACUCGUUGGGAAUUGGUAGACGGAAUUUGACCAUAUAUCUGGUACGUGAAUAUAGCAAAUUUCAGUGCACUGACGUCUUAAGGGUUGCACACACAAGUUGUGUACUUCCUUACAGUAAGUGCAUACAUUU
rnacentral:telomerase_RNA from 1 species